rnacentral:rRNA from 1 species
GACGAACGCUGGCGGCGUGCCUAAUACAUGCAAGUAGGACGCACAGUCUAUACCGUAGCUUGCUACACCAUAGGCUGUGAGUUGCGAACGGGUGAGUAACGCGUAGGUAACCUGCCUAUUAGAGGGGGAUAACUAUUGGAAACGAUAGCUAAUACCGCAUAACAGUAUGUAACACAUGUUAGAUGCUUGAAAGAUGCAAUUGCAUCGCUAGUAGAUGGACCUGCGUUGUAUUAGCUAGUAGGUAGGGUAAUGGCCUACCUAGGCGACGAUACAUAGCCGACCUGGGAUGGUGAUCAGCCACACUGGGACUGAGACACGGCCCAGACUCCUACGGGAGGCAGCAGUAGGGAAUCUUCGGCAAUGGGGGGAACCCUGACCGAGCAACGCCGCGUGAGUGAAGAAGGUUUUCGGAUCGUAAAGCUCUGUUGUUAAGGAAGAACGAGUGUGAGAAUGGAAAGUUCAUACUGUGACGGUACUUAACCAGAAAGGGACGGCUAACUACGUG